rnacentral:rRNA from 1 species
UACGUAGGUGGCAAGCGUUGUCCGGAAUUAUUGGGCGUAAAGCGCGCGCAGGCGGUCUUUUAAGUCUGAUGUGAAAGCCCACGGCUCAACCGUGGAGGGUCAUUGGAAACUGGAAGACUUGAGUGCAGAAGAGGAGAGCGGAAUUCCACGUGUAGCGGUGAAAUGCGUAGAGAUGUGGAGGAACACCAGUGGCGAAGGCGGCUCUCUGGUCUGUAACUGACGCUGAGGCGCGAAAGCGUGGGGAGCGAACAGGAUUAGAAACCCGAGUAGUCC